CUUAGAAAAAUCAGUCCUUAGGUUGUUCUCCAUAUAAAGCUCUGCUUGGCUUCAACAUGAUUAACCAUGGGACCGAUUAUAAGCUCUUGAAACAAUUAUCUCUACUAGAGGAACAUAGUCGCUUGAAUAGAGUGGGCCAAUUAGCAUUAUUACGGAAAGACAUAAAAUAGAAUAACGAAUGUUAAGCAAUACAACCUAAGAUCUAACCCUGUUGUAUAUAGAGAAGGACAAGAAGUCUUUAAGCGAAACUUUCACUUAAGCAAUUUUAGUCAGAAUUACAAUAAGAAGUUAGGCCAUCAAUUUUCAAAGUGUAGAACUAAAAAGAAAUUAGGUAAUGCGUUUUAUCUAUUACAAACGUUAACAGAAAAAGAAAUCGGAACACAUCACGCAAAAGAUAUACGAAGCUAAUUCCAGCUAAUCUGUCUGCGAUUACUCGUCGGAUUAUCUGUGGUUGUAAUGGUUGGCCUUGGAGAAAAUUAAUUAAAGUUCAAAAGAAUAUUUAAAAUUACGGCUUACGCGCCCUACGAUAUUCGAACAAUCAGGCGAUCAAGGUUGCCAUCUGAUCCUCGCAAUCGAUUUAUCGAUUAUAAAAAACUAUCUUUUCCGACCCAAGCCGCGUGUGUCCCGAAAAAGUGCAUAGAAACUUUAGAAAAAUCUAACGGCAUCCGCGACCUAAUCAGCUAAUUUAGCUAACAGGCGCACACCCGCCAAUCCCGAGCUAAAAAAGGCCCAAUACCGCGUGCUAUCACGGCUGGCUGCUCCGGCAUUACCUUACAUAAAGGCCUUAGGAUUAAAUUCAACUAUAUCAGUCAAACAUAGGGCAGCUCUACCUCCCAUUUUCAUCAUCGUCGUUCCUCCAUAAAAAGGCCCCGUUCAAGCCUUACAAAAGGGCUAGCAAAAACCCUUUCGACCCAGCAGCUAUUUUUAGCGCGGUCGAAGCAACACAAUUCAAUCUUUAACAUCGUCGUCUGUUGUUGUUAUCCUACCCGCGCUAUUCAAGGCGGCUGAGCAGCGCGAAGGUAAGAUCAACGCCCACAACUCCGACGAGGGAGGAAUCUUCGCCAGGUCAGGAUCGACAAAUACUUAAAAACGAAGAUAAACCCCUCUGCUAUUUGUCUAAAAAUUGACACUUUUGUUGAAAAAAAAAAAUUUUGAAGUUAAAGUUUUUCUAAAAGGAUGAGCUGGUAAGGAGACUGAUAGAAGACAGCGAAAGGCAAAACAUAGGCCUACUAAUAGGCUGUGAUGCUAACGGGAAUUGGAAAGUACAGACACAAACGACCACGGUGAGUCUCUUUUUAACUUUAUCUUUAGUUCAAAUCUCUUCAUAUGUAAUAAAGGUAAUGACCCCACUUUUACCAUUAAGAACCUCUCGUCUCUAAACUACUAUUAGAGACAGUAACUCACUAGAGGGUGCUAGGUAAGCACUUUUUCUCGGACCACAGGUAUAUAGAAACGACCCUCACAACCAACCCAUCAAAACCAGCAGUUUUUAUGAACCCAAGGAAAACAGACUGGCAAAAAUACAAAAAUAUUUUAAAGGAAAAAAUCCCAAUGGAUCGCCCUCCAUACCCUCAAACAAUUUCUAGUCUAAACGAACUAGUUUCUA